GGUAAGCAAGAAGAAACUACUUGGAUCUCCCCAAUGCAGAUUCGCUAGUUUCUCGACCCAUUGGUAUACGUGAGGACUUGGUUUCCUAUGCAGGAAAUGAUUUCUCCCUCCAUAAUAAAUCUACUGCCACAUGAGCAAAUUGCUUAGUUGGUAUGAUAAUUAAGAGGAAUAGAAACUAUCAUCAAUAUUUCAUUGGAACUGCCCUUGUAAAUCACAGUUAAAUCGUCUUCGUGGCAUCGUUCCCGCUUCCGGCACCAUGAGUCGUA
rnacentral:lncRNA from 1 species